AUUGAACGCUGGCGGCAGGCCUAACACAUGCAAGUCGAGCGAGCGGCGGACGGGUGAGUAAUGUAUGGGGACUGCCCGAUAGAGGGGGAUAACUACUGGAAACGGUGGCUAAUACCGCAUACUAUCGGAUAACCCAUAUGGGAUUAGCUAGUAGGUGGGGUAAAGGCUCACCUAGGCGACGAUCUCUAGCUGGUCUGAGAGGAUGAACAGCCACACGGGGACUGAGACCAGGCCCCGACGCUCACGGAGGCAGAAGUGGGGAAGAUUGAGCAAUGGGCGAAAGCCUGAUGCAGCCAUGCCGCGUGUAUGAAGAAGUCCUUAGGGUUGUAAAGUACUUUCAGCGGGGAGGCGUUACCCGCAGAAGAAGCACCGGCUAACUCCGUGCCAGCAGCCGCGGUAAUUC
rnacentral:rRNA from 1 species